GACGAACGCUGGCGGCGUGCUUAACACAUGCAAGUCGAACGGAAAGGCCCUGCUUUUGUGGGGUGCUCGAGUGGCGAACGGGUGAGUAACACGUGAGUAACCUGCCCUUGACUUUGGGAUAACUUCAGGAAACUGGGGCUAAUACCGGAUAGGAGCUCCUGCUGCAUGGUGGGGGUUGGAAAGUUUCGGCGGUUGGGGAUGGACUCGCGGCUUAUCAGCUUGUUGGUGGGGUAGUGGCUUACCAAGGCUUUGACGGGUAGCCGGCCUGAGAGGGUGACCGGCCAAAUUGGGACUGAGAUACGGCCCAGACUCGUACGGGAGGCAGCAGUGGGGAAUAUUGCACAAUGGGCGGAAGCCUGAUGCAGCAACGCCGCGUGCGGGAUGACGGCCUUCGGGUUGUAAACCGCUUUCGCCUGUGACGAAGCGUGAGUGACGGUAAUGGGUAAAGAAGCACCGGCUAACUACGUG
rnacentral:rRNA from 1 species